UGAAUCCAAAACAACAAAAGCCCUACCUCUCUUCUGUCCUUGCGGCUCCGAUGACCGCGCCAGUGUGAAUCAGAUCGUCAAAUUUCAA
rnacentral:sRNA from 1 species